rnacentral:rRNA from 1 species
CCUACGGGAGGCAGCAGUGGGGAAUAUUGGGCAAUGGGCGCAAGCCUGACCCAGCAACGCCGCGUGAAGGAAGAAGGCUUUCGGGUUGUAAACUUCUUUUCUGAGGGACGAAAAAAGUGACGGUACCUCAGGAAUAAGCCACGGCUAACGACGUGCCAGCAGCCGCGGUAAUACGUAGGUGGCAAGCGUUAUCCGGAUUUAUUGGGUGUAAAGGGCGUGUAGGCGGGAAAGCAAGUAAGAUGUGAAAACUCAGGGCUCAACCCUGAGCCUGCAUUUGAAACUGUUGUUCUUGAGUGCUGGAGAGGUAAUCGGAAUUCCGGGUGUAGCGGUGAAAUGCGUAGAUAGACGGAGGAACACCAGUGGCGAAGGCGGAUUGCUGGACAGUAACUGACGCUGAGGCGCGAAAGCGUGGGGAGCAAACAGGAUUAGAUACCCCAGUAGUC